rnacentral:misc_RNA from 1 species
GUAGCUCCAAGUUACGGGGCGGCGUCUGGCUCCGGCCAGCGCCGAUCCUUCCGCGCAUCACUUGCCGAAGCCUUAGCAGCCCAAAAGGGUGCCGCUCAACGACUAUAACCAUGAGCCGCUGAAAUGCUAGUCUGCGCUCGCUGCAGGCGACACUGUCAAAUUGCGGGGACACCCUAAAGACCUCAACACCAAGCGACCAGGGGAAACCCUGGCGUGGCCGAGCUAACAGCCCUGGGUAUGGUAACAGCUU